UCAAAACACCUUCAAUCACACACACAUCAGCUGCGCCUAUCCUCCUUUCUCUCUCUAUGGCUCCCUCUCUCGUCUCUCCCUCUCUGUUCGGCUGAGGGCGGCGCCGCCUUCGGCGCGCCGCCUCGCCGUCGCCUCCGCUCUCUCUCUCACAAGACUGCCGGAACAAGGUACAGCAGACGCACGCCGCUGUCAAAGCGGUGCGCCGCCGCCGCUGCCUCCGUCGUCCUUGCAGCAGAUCCGCUGCCGCGUCAAGACCACGGCCACCGCCUUUCCUCCCUCUCUAACUCUCACCCUCGUCUCGAUCUCUCUCUGGGCCGACGAACGACGUAAAACGCCGCCGCCUCCCCCUCUUUCGGUCGAUCCAGCAGCCCUAAUGGCUACCGCCGCCGUCGUCCUUGUCUUCCUCCGAUUUCCGGCGAAGCAACCCCCGCGGUGCCGCCGCCGUUCAGCAGCAACGGCGACGUCGCUGCUAUCACGUUACCGCCGCCGCCGACGUCGACGAGCCACCAUAGCUCCGCCGCCGGCCGCCGUCUGAAACCAGAACAGAACCAAGGCUCCGCCGCCUCUCGUCGACCACCGGCAGCCACCGCGGCUGCCGUCCCCCUGACCUCGACUCACACAUACAAAAACAGUGACUCAAGCCUCACAUUCAGUUCAUAAAAUAGCAAAUAGGAUUUGUGCAAUUUCAGUUCACAUGUAACAUAUCUUGUAUCUGUAAAUUAUGAAUUUGCUACUCAUUUUCUUCAUUUAUCAAAGCAUAUGUAAAUCUGAGUUAAUGAGCA